rnacentral:piRNA from 1 species
UAGCAGUUGAGCCAAAUCUGAGGUUGAAGGU